rnacentral:lncRNA from 1 species
AGAGUUGAAAAUUGAGAUUUUGAGACGAAUAUCUGAGAUUAUUUGGGUUCCGGGGGGUUUUAGGGGUGGUUUGGGGGGUUUAGGGGUCGGUAACGGUCGAGGAACCGCCGGUAACGGCGAUUUUGGGGCCAAUAACGGAGAUUUUCGGGGUUCCGUGUCCGGUAACGGCCGGGCCGUUCCGGUAACGCAGAUUUUGGGGUAAAAAUUGAGAUUUAGGGGUCCAUAACUGAGAUUUGGGGCGAAUAACGGAGAUUUAGGAGUCAAUAACAGAUAUUUGAGGUAAAUAACGGAGAUUUUGGGGGUUCCGGGACCGGCAACGGCCGGGCCCUUUCGGUAACGCAGAUUUUGGCAUGAAAUGUCGGAUUUGGGGUGAUUUGGGGCGGAUUCGCGGGAUUUCGGGAUUAUCUGGGGAAUUCGGGGCCGGUUUGGGGCAGAUUUUGAGGCAAUUUCGGGCCAAUUUUGGGGCAAUUUCGGAGUUUUUUGGGGUCGGCCCCGGCUGCCCCUCACGCCAAGCCCCGCCCCCUUCGGCCUCUGAUUGGCCGGGAGCUCAGCAGCGCCUCCGGAUUGGCUGAGAGCGGGGGAGUUGGAAAGGUGGGCGCGACCCGCUGGCGCCUCCGCUUCCCAUUGGCCGGUGGGGCGUCCCGCGGGAGGCGCUGAUUGGCUGCAAGGGGCGGGAGGGGCGGGGUUUGCCCUCCGGCGGUCACGUGGCGCGGGUGUCGCGCGGAGCGCGCGCGCGGAGCGGCCGCAGGUGUGCCACAGGUGUGCCGGGUCCCACGUGACCUACCCUCGGCUGUGUCACGUGUCUGCCUCACGUGUCGCCGGUGUCCUCAGGUGCGCUCACCUGUCCCAGGUGUGCCGAUGGCCGCCGCCCGCCUGGGCUGGCCCCGCGUGGGCUCCUCGGUUCUGUUCCUGUGCGAUCUCCAGGAGCGGUUCCGCGACUCCAUCGUCGCCUUCCCGCAGAUCGUGGCCGUGGCCGCGCGCAUGCUGCAGGUGGGGACGCCGGAACGGCCCCAAAUCGCCCCAAAAAUAACCCUAAAACACCCUCAGAAAUAUCCCAAAACCAUCCCCUAAAUACCCCGAAAACAGCAAAAAAAACCACCCCGAAAACAGCCCCAAAACACCCCAAAACCACCCUAAAAACACCCCCGAAAUCACCCCAAAAAUAACCCUAAAACCACCCUAAAAUCAUCCCCAAAAUACCCCCAA